CUACUAUUUUAGCUAGCCAUGCUAGAAGUCAAAAGACAAAAUGUUGUGUUUUUAUGCACAUGCUAACAUGUUUAACAAUGUUCAAGUAUCAUAUGUUAAAAAGUGUGUGAUGGUCGGAUAUUUUAUUUAAAUUAGACAUACUUUACAAUUGCAUGCUAGGGCUUCAUUGAAGAUAUACAAAGGUUAACAUGUUUUCUGUCCUUUCUCUGAAACCGAGAUCUGUGGUAACUGAGAACAACAACAACAACAGCCAAUAUAACCAGAUCUAUGUGGUGCAGGAUCUUGGACCAAUGAGGAUUCACUAUGGGCGGAGCUACCCAGUGUGACAUCAUGGAAACAGAAGCCAAACGCCUGGAAGUGUUCGUGUCACAGGCCAUUUCACUAUGACAGGGAGUAUCUUACAGAGAAAAUGCAGUAUGUUUGAAAAUAUUUGAGACCUCAUCACAAUAUCAGAGAGAACAUGUGGAUACUCCGCCAAAAGCCUCCUGCAUUUUUGAUGACUCGACCUUCUGUCCUCUUCUGGAGAUGAAGUGUCUCAUAAGGAGAGGGGAGUAUUCGUUCUCGCUGUAUUUAUACAGGCCUUCCGAUGAGAGAAUGUAUUGAGGCAGGAGAGGUGAUUGGACUCUGGCGUAUAUUUCCCCUGCGUCUCCCUUCAGCAUGUCAUUCUUUAUCAGUAAUCACCUUAGAGGGCAGCGUGGCACUCGUUUGCGAGAUGCUGACCUCCUUUGCACUGAGAGGCAGUGGACAGUGGGCCCAUCCAUAAUGCUGCGAUGCAUUACUGGCGGUAACAUGAAGUGUAGUCGCCCCUUUCAGGCACUAGUGUUCAAGUGCGAGGCCUGGAGAAAAACACCUCUUGGGACCCAUCAAAACUCAGACUGGUUCUGUGUGUC
ensembl:lncRNA